GUUGGUGUCUUGUUCAACUCUAUUACCGUUCGAGAAACGUCUACGCUGAAGGAAUAUUUAUCAUCGCUGGACAAACUAGCGCCCCGGUUGCGGUCGACCAACAUUCCUUUCCCCGAAAUUCAUUGGAUGUUUAAGAAGAUUUGGAAUACGACUUCUGCAGUGUGCUCGUCGGAUAAAAAAUUCAAACAACAAAUCGCUAGGUCUGCUUAUCGAGAAGACUUGUAAGAGGCCAUUAUCUGAUUGAAAUUCGCCCAUUCAUUUGGACAACAAGAUAAGGAACGACAAAUUAAAGUACGGACGAUGCCAUCACUUUACUGGCAGCUUGCUACAUGCAUCUUAACCUGUCAGAGUAUUGGCUUCGAAUUAUCGAAAUUUUGGAUUUUGGAGAUGACACUGUUGAGAACUUGGAGCUAAGGUUGCAAACACUACUAGUUAGUGGAAAGGACAUCCAUUCGAUUAAGCAGUAACUUUCGAAAUACUUGGCUCUCCGAUAUAGAGAAGAUGGCAUUGGUCAAAUAUCAGUGAAAUUGGCUGCCGAUCAAUUGUUUUGUUUGAUCGAAAAGCAAAAAGGUAUCACUUUCCUCAUGCAGCUACUCCGCGAAAUCCCCUGGAAAGAUGAUGAGAUAAUGACCGACAGAACUAAAAGUGAUUGGAAAACUGAAUGGCCCCAUGUCGAAAGCAUCAAGUGGAUUUGUGCUAAAUACGCCACACGUUAUUUCAUGGCUGAAGAUCAUACUGACGACCUGUUUAAACUUCUUUGUGAUAUUCAGCACUGGAACGACGAAAAUGUGAACAGUGAGUUGAUUUACGCGAUAUUGUAUCUGUCUGAGGGUGAGGCUUUAAGACUAAUUAACGACGAAGGUAAUGUGGAGGCUUCCUUGCGUUGGUAUGAAAUAAUCGUUCGAUUUGCCAAUCGCCAUGGAAUCGAUUCUACGGUUAUAUGGAACGCGAUGACUUGUUUGUUACAACUUCCUCUUGAUACAGGAUAUCAAAGGGCUGAAAAGCUGUCAACUCUGAUUCCGGAAUAUGACUCAUGGGCUGAUCAGGAUCCCCUUUGUAUUCGAUUGCAAAUGGCACUAAGAGCUCAAAACUACGAUAAAGCGCUACAGAUCACUGCGGAUUUAGAUAAUCUGGGAGAAAAUAAUGAUUGGGAUAAAAUCCAACGAGCUAUAAGUCGUAGCGCGUCAAUUGCUCGGGACAACGGGUUUUAUAUUCCCAUGCUCAACUACCUCGAGACAGCAGCACAAAACUGCAAAAUUUCGUUUAUGAAGGUCAUAUUGCUACGCUUUGUAUUAAGAUUCCAAAUGGAAAUGUUAAAUAAAGAAGUGGAGGAGAAGAAGGAAAUUAUGUUGACGAACAUAUUGUCCACCAUCGCUGCUGUCUAUAUUACCACGCGUGAAGCUCAGUCAAGUGAUUCCCUUUCUCGUUGAAAUAAGGAUUUGGUUCGCCCGAACAUCCUGGAAUUUGGGGCGUAUCGGAAACAAACAAUCUGCUUAUUUUCGUCAUCAUCUGUUUAAGCUGUCGGGCCAGCUUUUUGCUUUGGAAACAUGUUGGAUGAAAGAGAUGAAAACUGCGAUGGUCAGAGCGAUUGAGGCCACCUUUGACUUUGGUCCCAAUCACAAACGAAUCUCCUACGUGCGUAUUCUAGAGUCCGCCCUUGAUGCCGUGAUGUCGUGAAUGAAUUUUACCAACAUGCUAAGGGUUCGGAGCACGUCCAGCUAAUCCAAUUGAUGGAAAUUCACGCACUGUGUGGGUUGGCAAAAGACUGGCAAAAAGUUGAAAAACUGUGUCACAGCUAUUUUGACGAUAAAGAUGUCAAUCCCAAACAUGACGCUGACUUCUUUCUUAGUCUGGCCUCGAUCAUAAUCAGUACCAAAGAUGCCAAGAUCUGUGAAGUCGUCACGAGUGAGUGCACAGAUUACAUAUUCGAGAGGGAAAAAUUGUCCGCACAGCAGCAAACGCGUUUGACGAGUUAAGCUGCUACGAGCCUGGAAAAGGCGAUCGAUCUGUCAACGUCAUCAGGAACUCUCCCCUCCUCGAAGAUAAUUCCCCUUUGUCAAUGGAUCGUUGGUGUCUUGUUCAACUCUAUUACCGUUCGAGAAACGUCUACGCUGAAGGAAUAUUUAUCAUCGCUGGACAAACUAGCGCCCCGGUUGCGGUCGACCAACAUUCCUUUCCCCGAAGUAUAUACAACGAUUUGGUCAAAUCUUGUUGUCAAAUCUCACACGGUUUUGAUGUAUCUAUCUCUCACAGAUUCAUUGGAUGUUUAAGAAGAUUUUAUUUUAUUUUUUAUAUCUUA